rnacentral:rRNA from 1 species
AGAGUUUGAUCAUGGCUCAGGAUGAACGCUGGCGGCGUGCCUAAUACAUGCAAGUCGAACGAGAUGCUUUUGUAGCAAUACGAGAGUAUCCUAGUGGCGAACGGGUGAGUAACGCGUUGGUGACCUACCCCAAAGUGUGGGAUAACAGUCCGAAAGGAUUGCUAAUACCGCAUGUGGUCAUUGGAUUUAGAAACCGAUGUCUAAAGGAGCAAUUCGCUUUGGGAGGGACCUGCGUCCCAUCAGCUAGUUGGUGAGGUAACGGCUCACCAAGGCGACGACGGGUAGGGGACCUGAGAGGGUGACCCCCCACAAUGGAACUGAAACACGGUCCAUACACCUACGGGUGGCAGCAGUAGGGAAUAUUGCUCAAUGGGCGAAAGCCUGAAGCAGCAACGCCGCGUGUGUGAUGAAGGCCUUCGGGUCGUAAAGCACUUUUCUGGGAGAUGAGAAAGGACAGUAUCCCAGGAAUAAGUCUCGGCUAACUACGUGCCAGCAGCCGCGGUAAUUC